GACGAACGCUGGCGGCGUGCUUAACACAUGCAAGUCGAACGGGGACGGAGGAGCUUGCUCCUCCUGAUCAGUGGCGAACGGGUGAGUAACACGUGAGCAAUCUGCCCCUGACUCUGGGAUAACUGCGGGAAACUGUAGCUAAUACCGGAUACGACGCGCGAAGGCAUCUUCUGCGCGUGGAAAGAAUUUCGAUCAGGGAUGAGCUCGCGGCCUUUCAGCUUGUUGGUGAGGUAAUGGCUCACCAAGGCGGCGACGGGUAGCCGGCCUGAGAGGGUGACCGGGCCCACUUGGCAGGGCAAACGGCCCAGAAUCCGACGGGAGGCAGGAGUGGGGAAUAUUGCACCAUGGGCGCAAGCCUGAUGCAGCAACGCAGCGUGAGGGACGACGGCCUUCGGGUUGUAAACCUCUUUUGGCAGGGAAGAAGCGAAAGUGACGGUACCUGCAGAAAAAGCACCGGCUAACUACGUG
rnacentral:rRNA from 1 species